UCAUUCCUCUGGUUGCUCCCACGCACCGAUGCGGCUCGCCGCGCCGCCCCCUGCGCAUCCCGGCUCGCCAUCGUGCUCCUUGCCCUCCACCACGACCCAUGGGGCGUGGCUCCCGUAGGCAACGGCUCACCGGGCGGGCGCAGCUCUGGCCACGGGCGGGGCUCCGGCGAGCGCGUCGGCCUCGGUGGCCAGAGAGCACGACGACAGUGCUCAGCUCUGCGGAGAGCGCAAUGGCCCCUUGUGGUCGUCCCCGGUCUUCUGCUUCCUAGUCUCGGCCUUAUCUCAGAUGCCGAUUUAGGCGACGUGGAUUCACCGCGUUGGGGGCGGCGCUGCUCACGUGCUCGGAUCAGCAACCCAGAGGCGACAACGCGAGCCGAGGCUAUGGCGGUGCUCGCAUCCUCCCUCCCCAGAUCUCGUGUGGUGGCUCUGAUUCUGGCUUCCCCCGAGAUCCAUUAAGCAAGGCGGAUUGUGGUGCAGCUUUCCCUGAGCCCUCCACCUCUGCAAGCUCGUCGUCUUAUGGGUGCGCCCUCCUCGUCAGACGCCACUGGAUCUAGAAGCAGUGAGAUGGGGCGUGCUGUUGCUUCAGUUGGUCGUUGCACGACCACGCGUUGCUACUACUUCCCUCGGCGCACUCGAUCUAUCAAGAAGCAAAGGAACGUUGUUAGAAGAUAAUCUAGACACCCAGUAGGCCUGCAGAGGUGAGUUCCAUCCUUGCCUCUUUUUUAUGGCCUCAUGGCAACAUAUUUCUUGGUAGUAUCUCAUAGGAAGUUCUUAUGGAGUAUGGACUAACCAAGGAGAACUCAGCUGCACCAUUGGAAGGGAAUCUUAUUAAUUAUUAGGUGUGUUGUCAAUCCACCAUUUAGCUGAUUAAAAAACAACCUCUUAAUUGAUAACAAAUAAAGUGCUUACCCUGUGCACCUUUCUUCUUUUAACAAACCAAUUUUAUUAAUAACAACAUGCUAUAAGCAGGGAGAAACACUCCCAUUGUACAGAGGAUAGUGCCAACUAUAAGGGGCACAUUGAUACAUGAGUCUGGUUUGUACAUGAGACAGCUAGAUGCAAAAAAAAUUGAGCUAGAGGCUAUCCUAGCCUGUUUUGCUAAGGGGUUGUGUUCGUCUUUGUCGAGUUGUCCUCGACUCCAAGAGGUCUAGCGGCGAGGAGCACAAUGACAAGCUAGAUCUCAAUGUUUGCCUGGUGAGCUGCAGGUUUUUGCACUGUGAGGAAAUUGUUUCUUAUGGAUUUCACUUGUCUCAUCCAACUUUAUAGAUUGGAUUGUUAUAAUUUCA